rnacentral:lncRNA from 1 species
CGCGCACAACAACCCCAUAUACCACCUUUCCCUUCUUCACUUUUCCAUUAGGAUGUGCUUCCUUCACUGAUGCUACUAUAGUGUCACCUAAUCUUGCCCCUUUCUUCCCUUUCAAUGCCUGUAUGCACAUCACCUUUUUAGCCCCAGAAUUGUCCACAACCUUGAGAACAGUCCUCAUUUGUAUGAAGGUGCGUUGCUGCUGCAAAAAAGGCAUGGAAAUAUUUUACUCAAGAAAGGAACCAUACCAGAGUGAAAGAAUGGAUGAGAUUCAUUGAAGCACAUGCAUAUCUUUGCAGAACACGGAAAUGUUACUGCUAUUAUCUAAAACCUAUGUUUACCAAUACAAUGUUGGGCAAACAUAAGUGUUAAAGAAGAUCUGUAACAAUGUUAAUAAUCCAAAAAUGAAUUUGCAGUUAAUUCAUAAACUGACCUGAGAAAAAUAAUUGUUGUGUGUCAUCUCAUGUGCUGAACCAAGGGAACUGUUGCUUAAUCCGCUGAACAGAGAACGGCCCACUAGUUUGGUUUUUAAUUUUUAAACACAUGAAACAAAUAGUAGUAAGUUGAACAUGAGAAUAUCAUCUUAUCAACAUAAAAUACAGUUCACCAUUAAAUUAUAAACGAUAAUUACUGGAAAGGGUGUACAAGUGGCAUGAACGCAGGCUUAAAUAUAUCAAAAUAGAGUUGUGGAGCUGAAUGAAAUUUCAGGCUGGUUACAAAAUGCAGUGGUUGAACAAAAAAGAUCAUUGCAAGCAUAACACUUUGCCUGUCCCCAAUGUUUCUAAGAAAUAAAAUCAUCAAGUACAAAUGAGACUUAAGCACGCCUGAAGUACAUGAGCUGUUUGCACAUCACCACCUAAAGUUAUGUGUUAGACACACUCAAUUAGUGAGGGUGGGGUAAUUAGUGGGUGGGUUAGUGUGAGGCAUGCUGCCGAUAAAUAGAGAGUUUAGGGUGAGAAUUGGUAUCUAUUGAGUCAUUUGGGGUUUGGAACAUAGGGAGAGUGGCUGAGUCUCUCCAAUUAUUCAGCAACCAUAUCCAGUUCCUAUCAUUAUGAAGGCCAUUGGAAGAGAGUGCUGCCAUCUUCAUUUUGAAAUUAGUUUCAUGAUUAAUAAUUGCACGCUUUCCUAAGCCCUUUGUACCUUUUUUUUGAAUCAACAAUUCAUUAUGAAAGAAAAGGGAUCCUGAGUUCUACCACUGCAACAAAUGAUACUACAGUACAGGAGAAAGAAAGGAAAUACAUCAACUCUAAAGUGCAACCAAUUCCUUAAAAUCUCAGUUGUUAAAGCAUUCUUAAAAAAAACAUAUGCAAAGCACACAAGGAAACUUGAAAUACUGGAAAAACACUACAGCAAAAAAACAAAAUUCUAAAAGAGCACAACUUCAAGUGAAGCUUAACCUUAACAUAUUUAUUAGUACCAAAAACUGGUUUCAUCGUCAGUUGCUCUAAGAAAGCUGAGAUAUCUGUAUAUAUCUGUAUCCCCAUGCUUUCAAUAGUAUAAACAAUACGCCUUUAAUAUGAGAAUAUGUUAAUACCAUAGUACUAUAAGAAACAUGCUAACAAGCCCACAAAUAAGAAAAUAAUAAUUUUAUUUAAAAGUUUCAAGCAACAUGAAGAAGCUGAAUUAUCCUGCAAGUUUCAUCCUUGUUGAGUUUUUCCCCAAAAUUUACUGCUUCAACUUGUGAAGGAAUAUGCAACGUGCACUUAUGAAAUGAACUUGAUUUUUGUAGGGUUCUUAAGCUAGUAUUAUGUACUUGGAAUUAAGAGCAUUUCUUUGAUUACUAGUGACAGUUUAUUAAAUUGGAAUAUCGGCCUUGAUUCUUUAGUUUUGUGGUCCAAGAAUUAUACUUUAUGGGGAACAGGGCUAGCAAACAUGGGAUACAUUGUGUGGCUGUGAUGCUGAAGAACCCUACACAUGAAUCUUCCUGUGCUACAGAAAAAGGAUGGCAACAAAAAGCAGCAGGAAUGCAGGACAACCACCGCACCUCAUGUCUAUCGGUGUGAAGGAAAUUCAGUCUCCGGGAGAAAGUUAUUGUUAUACCCAAAGCUAACAGAGAAUGAAAUGCUAACUUCGUUGACUGUUGGAUUGUACAGAUCUAGCCUCAUUCACAUAUAGAGGAGGCCGUAUUAAUCUAGGCUAAUGUGAGUUAGGCUACAGAAGAUAGCUACCCAAGCUGAGCUAACUAACUAACGAACAAAUAAGAAUUAACAGAACGUAGAAACUAAUAACUAACUGCUCGGAACUAAUAACUAACCAACUUCCUUCUUAGCUUGAUCCUCUAAUAAUUGUAAUAAAAGCACAUUGAAGGUGAUCCCCCGACAUCUAAACUAAAACAACUUGUGCUAACAAUCCUUCAAAAGAAUUCAGAAUUGGACGAAAAACAAGACUAGCUCGUUCCUUCAAAUAUGAAAGACUUUCCUCAGCUUAGUUUGAUUUAUGUUUAAAAAAUUGCUAUAGUGGCAAUUCAAUUGUACCAGCGCAAUAAAAUUAGUGGUUGCAUCAAAGACAGUAAGACACAGCUUUUCAGAAACCACCUAUUAGAUAUGGAGCUAACCAGAAACACCAAA